GCCAUAUAUAGUCAUAUGUUACUUUGUCUGCUGCCAGACAAGCAGACACUUCAAAUCAUCAAGUAGAGAGUUCGCAAAUGUCAGAAUAAAAAGACUGACAAACGUUAAACGUCAUAAUGAAGUGUUAAUAGUGUACAUUUCCCUUGCGUAGUCCAACUUUCUUCCUACUGUGACCUUUUGUUAGACACAAAAACGUUUGAUAUUCUAUCUCCCUGAAAACGACAGAGUUCCGGUUCCGGCCAUGCUUUUUUUACUAGUUCCGGCCGGAACCGGAACUCUAAAAAAUCGGGGUUCCGGCCGGAACCGAGUUCCGGUGCACCCCUACACACCAGUGAUGAUCAAGGCCAGGUCCAGGCCACCUACAUUUGCUGGCCUGGAUUUCUUGACUUAGGCCAGGCCAGGCUCAGGCCAGGUAAAACCUGUUCACACCCAGGCCAGGUCCAGGCCAGGCCUGGGCCGCUAGUGUGAACGCGGCUUAAGACAAAUAAACCUCGACGUUUCAGCUAUGGCUGAAGAGCUUGGGGCCUUUAUAUUUGUUCAUAUUUUUUUAGCUUUUGGUGUACAUACACAUAGGAUUAUGGUUUCUGUAACUUCUAAUAGUUUCUUGAUAAAUAUAAUUCUGAAAAAACAAUGUAUUUUUAAGGGGUCACUCAACUUGCCAACAAAGUUCGAGCAUCGUCUGAAAACCUAGUAUAUUUCUUUUGUAUUCCUCAUUUUCCCUUGAUAUGAUUUUUCAUGCUUUUUCUCUUUUAGAGUAACCUAUAUAACCUAUUCUUGUUUAUUGCAGAAUUAUUUACCACCACAAUGAUGCAGUUGAAAUUGUAUUAUUUUAAUUUAAAUUCUUCAAUGAAUAAUUAUUAACUACCAAUCACCAAUGAGUCAUUCCAGAAAAGAUAAACACUAACUCCACAGAUGUCUGAAGUGCUGUCUGACGUGGGCAGAACUCAACUGCUGAUAAUAGUAAAAGUAUUAGCUAAGGGUGUCCAAAAGUGGGAGGAAGCUCAACCUCCCAUCUCUUCCAUUAGGGGUGUGGAUAUUUUUUUGAAUGACCCAAUCAGUUUGAACUAACUGUAUAAUCAAGUUAUUCUAGUAUAAUUAUCACUUUGUAGUCCCAUGAGCUGUGACUUUGGCUGUUUGGCAUGUUUAUCUCUUUUCAAUUUUCUUUUGGUAGCAAUAACAGAUUACUACUACAGAUACUGUAUUACUACACAUUGUUACACCCAAAUAAGAUCAUAUACAUCAAUGUCAACUAUCAUGAUACAAUACAUCUGUUACAGCAAGAACAUUUUUGCUUCAGUUCUUGUAUAAUUACAUAUCACUUUGAUGCCUGUAAUAGAAAUGAGAAAUAAAG